UACGUAGGGUGCGAGCGUUAAUCGGAAUUACUGGGCGUAAAGCGUGCGCAGGCGGUUAUUUAAGUCAGGUGUGAAAGCCCUGGGCUUAACCUAGGAAUUGCGCUUGAGACUGGAUAGCUUGGAGUGCGGCAGAGGGAGGUGGAAUUCCACGUGUAGCAGUGAAAUGCGUAGAGAUGUGGAGGAACACCGAUGGCGAAGGCAGCCUCCUGGGCCAGCACUGACGCUCAUGCACGAAGGCGUGGGGAGCAAACAGG
rnacentral:rRNA from 1 species